ACGAACGCUGGCGGCGUGCUUAACACAUGCAAGUCGAACGAGACCUUCGGGUCGAGUGGCGGACGGGUGAGUAACACGUAGGUAAUCUGCCUCUCAAUGGGGGAUACCCGGUCGAAAGAUCGGCUAAUACCGCAUACGCUCUGCAGCUGUGAUGCUGUAGAGGAAAGAUUUAUCGUUGAGAGAUGAGCCUGCGUCCGAUUAGCUAGUUGGUAGUGUAAUGGACUACCAAGGCGACGAUCGGUAGCUGGUCUGAGAGGACGAUCAGCCACACUGGAACUGAGACACGGUCCAGACUCCUACGGGAGGCAGCAGUGGGGAAUUUUCCGCAAUGGGCGAAAGCCUGACGGAGCAACGCCGCGUGAAUGAAGAAGUCCUUCGGGAUGUAAAGUUCUUUCAGCAGGGACGAGUCGAAGACGGUACCUGCAGAAGAAGCAUCGGCUAACUACGU
rnacentral:rRNA from 1 species